ensembl:miRNA
ACCUCUCUAACAAGGUGCAGAGCUUAGCUGAUUGGUGAACAGUGAUUGGUUUCCGCCUUGUUCACAGUGGCUAAGUUCUGCACCUGAAGAGAAGGUG